rnacentral:rRNA from 1 species
AUUGAACGCUGGCGGCAAGCACAACACAUGCACGUCGAACGACUGGCGGACGGGUGAGUAAUGUCUGGGCAACUGCCUCCUGCAGGGGGAUAACCACCGGAACAGCUAGCUACUCCCCCUCACCAUCGGAUGUGCCCAGAUGGGAUUAGCUAGUAGGUGGGUUAACGGCUCACCUAGGCGACGAUCCCUAGCUGGUCUGAGAGGAUGACCAGCCACAAUGGAGCUGAGGCACGGUCCAUACUCCUGAGGGAGGGAGCAGUAGUGAAUAUGGCACGAGGGGCGCAUGCCUGAAGCAGCCAUGCCGCGUGUAAGAAUAAGGCGUUCGGGUUCUAAAGUACUUGCAGCGAGGAGGCGUUACUCGCAGAAGAGGCACCGGCUAACUCCGUGCCAGCAGCCGCGGUAAUAC